rnacentral:rRNA from 1 species
UACGUAGGGUGCGAGCGUUAAUCGGAAUUACUGGGCGUAAAGCGUGCGCAGGCGGUUCGUUGUGUCGGCGGUGAAAGCCCCGGGCUUAACCCUGGGAAUGGCCGUUGAAACUGGCGAACUGGAGUGUGGCAGAGGGGGGUGGAAUUCCGCGUGUAGCAGUGAAAUGCGUAGAGAUGCGGAGGAACACCGAUGGCGAAGGCAGCCCCCUGGGCUAACACUGACGCUCAGGCACGAAAGCGUGGGGAGCAAACAGG